rnacentral:misc_RNA from 1 species
GAUGAAGAACGCAGCGAAAUGCGAUAAGUAAUGUGAAUUGCAGAAUUCAGUGAAUCAUCGAAUCUUGAACGCACAUUGCGCCCGCCAGUAUUCUGGCGGGCAUGCCUGUCUGAGCGUCAUUUCAACCCUCAUGCCCCUAGGGCGUGGUGUUGGGGAUCGGCCAAAGCCCGCGAGGGACGGCCGGCCCCUAAAUCUAGUGGCGGACCCGUCGUGGCCUCCUCUGCGAAGUAGUGAUAUUCCGCAUCGGAGAGCGAUGAGCCCCUGCCGUUAAACCCCCAACUUUCCAAGGUUGACCUCAGAUCAGGUAGGAAUACCCGCUGAACUUAAGCAUAUCAAUAAGCGGAGGA